UGACCUCGGAUCAGGUAGGAUUACCCGCUGAACUUAAGCAUAUCAAUAAGCGGAGGAAAAGAAACCAACAGGGAUUGCCCCAGUAACGGCGAGUGAAGCGGCAACAGCUCAGAUUUGGAAUCUGGCCUUCGGGCCCGAGUUGUAAUCUGGAGAGGAUGUUUCUGGCGCGGUGCCUUCCGAGUUCCCUGGAACGGGACGCCGGAGAGGGUGAGAGCCCCGUACGGUUGGACACCUAGCCUUUGUGAAGCUCCUUCGACGAGUCGAGUAGUUUGGGAAUGCUGCUCAAAAUGGGAGGUAAAUUUCUUCUAAAGCUAAAUAUUGGCCAGAGACCGAUAGCGCACAAGUAGAGUGAUCGAAAGAUGAAAAGCACUUUGAAAAGAGAGUUAAAAAGUACGUGAAAUUGUUGAAAGGGAAGCGCCCGUGGCCAGACUUGCGCUGCGCGGACCACCCAGCGUUCUCGCUGGUGCACUCCGCGCGGCGCAGGCCAGCAUCGGUUUUCCUAGGGGGAUAAAGGUCGCGGGAACGUAGCUCCUCUGGGAGUGU
rnacentral:rRNA from 1 species